rnacentral:rRNA from 1 species
CCUACGGGAUGCAGCAGUGAGGAAUAUUGGUCAAUGGGCGCGAGCCUGAACCAGCCAAGUCGCGUGAGGGACGACUGUCCUAUGGAUUGUAAACCUCUUUUGUCGGGGAACAAAGGCGCCCACGGGUGGGCGGAUGAGUGUACCCUAUGAAAAAGAAUCGGCUAACUCCGUGCCAGCAGCCGCGGUAAUACGGAGGAUGCGUGCGUUAUCCGGAUUUAUUGGGUUAAAAGGGUGCGUAGGCGGACGGUAACGUUAGCGGUAAAAAUGCGGUGCGCAACUCCGUAGAGCCGUUGAAAAUGGCAGUCUUGAGUGGGCGAGAAGCAUGCGGAAUGCGUGGUGUAGCGGUGAAAUGCAUAGAUAUCACGCAGAACCCCGAUUGCGAAGGCAGCAUACCGGGGCCCUACUGACGCUGAGGCAUGAAAGCGUGGGUAGCGAACAGGAUUAGAGACCCUGGUAGUC